UUAUCAUCCAACGGUCUAGAACUUUACUCAUCUAACGGCCUUGAUUGCACAGGCCGAUAGUGUAAAUUUGGAUCCAAACACAACCAUAUAAUUUUUCCAUUAUAGCAUUUAUGAUUGAUGCUGAUGGGUACAUAAAAAAGCCACAAAUUUUGCAGAAGAUAACAUAAUCACAUGAAAUAAGGGACAUACACCAAUAAGUAAAAGUUCGAUGAGGUAGCACAUGAAAUAAAGGACAUACACCAAUAAGUAAAAGUUCGAUAAGGUAACCCUAGCCCACGCACAUCUUAUAUAUAUAAACACACAAACGUGAUUUGAUACGAACGAAACAGUCGUCAUAUCAAAUGUUUUUAUUAAUCACACACAUGCAGAUAGAUCGUGAUUGCAGCACACAGAUUAAUCACAGAUCAUAUACUUAAGCCUUAAGCCUUCUGUGUUUAUUUUGCAUCGGUGCUUGUAAGGUGAGCAUCAAUAUCUUUGGAGAGCUCAACUACAAACUGGAGCAAUGUAUGUGGAUCUUCAAUAUCGUCAUGGUGCUUCUCAUACUCCAUAGUCCAGUGCACGUUGCAUCCCUCGUCUUUCGGAGUUCCGUGGAUGGUGAUCUUGAAGCUCUUGUAAUGCUCCAUAAGAUCUCCUUCAAUCACUUUGAAAGUGAUCAGAUUAUUUUCAGCGUCUAUGGCUUCAAUCAACUCCUUAGCAACUUUGGCUUUUCCAUCUGCAUGCAUGAAAAUCUCACGUAAUUAAUAUGAUAUCACAAACUUGAGCUUAGUUAAUUUGGUUAGAACAAUGUAAGUUCAAAUCCACUCCUCAUAAAUUAGAUAAAUUUAGUAUAAAAAUGUCGCUUGUGUAUUUUAGGGUGGUACAUAUAUAUAAAAGAGUACUAUAGUCGAUAUUAAAUGAAGCAAGGUAGUUAGGAUCUUACCAUGGAAAUAAUUCCAGUAGACCACAGAUCCGACGGUUCCCCAGUCACCUUCAUGUAGGUCACAGCCCUGAAUGUUUCUAUUGCUGGCGUUGGAGAUGUGGUGUGGUUUGUGUGUGAACAUUUCAUGGAACUUGGCAGCAGAAGCCUUGAUUUCAACAUCGGUCUCCAGCUUACCACAAUCGCUAGACAUUUUCACCAAAAAACGGGUAUUUUCCAAAUAUUAUAGGAGGAAGUGUAGAGUUAUUUAGCCUAUAUAUAGAGUACUUAUUUGAAUAAAACUGAUUGGAAUCUUGCACUUAUAUAGACGGAGAAGGUGACCGCAUUAUAGCAACAAAUAAGACACAUGCUUAACAAUUGAGCUGAAAUAAUUGCCUCCACUCAGAUUAUGUUAUUAAUUUAGAAUAUAGUAGGUAAUAAAAGGAUUGAUUGGACAUGUCUAAUAUAACAGAUCAUAUAGAACUUUAACGAAAAACUCAUGAUACUGUUCACUUUAACGAAAAACCACAUUUUUACGCUAAAAAGUCAAUUCUAGUACUAUUCACUUUACCUUUUAUUUUGUCCUUAUCUUUAAAAAUCAAAGUUUUCAAGCUCUUUUCAUUAAUAUAUAUAGAGUAUAUACACAUCCAUUUUCACUUUUCACACACCCUUCUCAAUUUUCGGUCUUCAAAUCGAAUGAAUUGAAAAUGAUCAAAUGACUAAACUUAACAAAAGGUGUGUGAGAAGUGAAAAAUGAGUAUGUGGAUAGCACAUCCCUAUAUAUAUAUAGGGAUGUGCUAUUCACACACUCAUUUUUACUUCCCACACAUCAUUUGUUAGUUUCUAUCCGUUGAUUUUCUUUAAUUCAUCCGAUCCGACGACCAAAAAUUAGAAGAAUGUAUGAGAAGUAAAAAGAGGUGUGUGGAUAUCACACCCCAUAUAUAUAUAUAUAUGUGAAGAUAGAGAUAAAAAUAUAAUUUAGCAAAUUCAAUAAUUCAAAGAUCGAGACGGACGAGCUAACUCUCCAAAUUCCGUUGAAAUUCCUAUAACAAAAUAUAAAUCUUCAAUAUGGCAAUUGUGGCCGCAUAAUUUGUAAAAAGGGUAAAAAAUUGUUUACUACCCUCAUGUUUCGUAGUUUUUAACAUUUAGUACAUCAAGUUUUUUUCGUCGUCAUACCUAAAGUGUAAAUUUUUGGGACAGUCUCAUACAUCCGUUAGUCAAACUGUUAAGUCUCUUGUUAACUGUGACGUGGCGCCCAUGUGGACACUGACUGGGCGCCACGUGUCAUCCACGUGGAAAUUUAAAAUAAAUUAUUUAUAAAAUAAAUAAAUAUAUAUAUAAAAAAUAUAUAUAUAUAUAUAUAUUAAAAAAAUUUAAAAAAAACCUUCAUCUUCCCCAGAUUCGGAGGAAGAAGAAGAAGGAGAAGAAGGAGAAGAAGAAAGAGAAGAAUGGGAAGGAAGAAGGAGGAAGGAAGAAGGAAGAAGGAGAAGAAGGAGGAAGAAAAAAAAAAGUUGCACUCGGAGUAAGAAGAAGGAAGAAGAAGGAGGAAGAAGAAAAAAAAAAAAAAAUCUUUCCCAGAUUCGGAGGAAGGAGAAGGAAGAAGGAGGAAGAAAAAAAAAAAAAUCUUCCCCGGAUUCGGAGGAAGAAGAAGAAGAAGAAGAAGAAGAAGGAAGAAGGAGAAGAAGGAGGAAGGAAGAAGGAGAAGGAGGAAGAAAAAAAAAGUUGCAAUCCGAGAAAGAAGAAGAAAGAAGGAGGAAGAAGAAAAAAAAAAGAAAAAAGAAAAAAAGAAAAAACUGAAUUUGCAACCCAGAUUCGGAGGAAGAAGAAGAAGAAGAAGAAGAGGAGGAAGGAAGAAGGAGGAAGGAGAAGGAAGAAGGAGGAAGAAGAAAAAAAAAUCUUCUUAAGAAGAAGAAGAAGGAAGAAGGAGGAAGAAGAAGAAAGAAGAAAAAAAAAUCUUCCCCAGAUUCGGAGGAAGAAGAAGAAGAAGAAGGAGAAGGAAGAAAAAGGAAGAAGGAGAAGGAGGAAGGAAGAAGGAGAAGGAGGAAUGAAAAAAAAAAAUUGUAGUAAGAAGAAAAAGAAGAAGAAGAAGAAAGAAGAAAAAAAAAACGUGGAUGACACGUGGCGCCCAAUCAGUGUCCACAUGGGCGCCACGUCACAGUUAACAGGAGACUUAACAGUUUGACUAACGGAUGUAUAAGACUGUCCCAAAAUUUACACUUUAGGUAUGACUCUGAGACAAAAAAAACUUGAUGUACUAAAUGUUGAAAACCACGAAACAUGAGGGUAGUAAACAGUUUUUUACCCUUGUAAAAAAUCUUCUACAAGCAACAAGGAGAACUUUUGCAUUUGGAGCAAGAUACUGCUCUACUAAAGAUUUUAACCUCCAACACAUGAGGUGAAUAUACCGUAUUGUUCAUAAAGUAAAAACCUUUGUUCCCUGAGGUACCAUUUGGUACGCAGACGGGACGGGACGGAACAAAUAUUUCGUGUCAUGUUUGGUACUAGCAAGAUGGAACAAAACGGAACGGGGUUAAAUGACUAACUUACCCUUUUUAUUUGACUCUCCCUCUCUCUCCCGUUUCUCUGCUUUCUCUUCUUCCAUCCGUUUCGUGUUCUUCGCAUGCCCAGAUUGAUCCCAGUAAAAAUCAAUCUCAGUAAAACAAAUCCAUACUUUCUCUUCAUUUCAUUUUCUUUCUCUUCAAUUCAAACCCAUAUUUCUCUUUUUUUUUAAUUUCUUUCUCUUCAAACCAGACACAGAAAAAUCCCAAAUUAUUAUUUUAGGGAAAAACUAAUGAAAUCUUGAAAGUUCGUAUUCAAACAACCAUUUUUACUGUAAAACUUACAAAAUUAAACUAAAAAAGGUGAAAUUGAACAAAAUGCCCCGUUCUUAGCCUCCACCGGAUGCUCCUCAUUGAUGUGGCAGCAAAGCCCAACGACAUCAAAAUCCUCGGCGCAGAAAGGGCACAAAAACUCGGCCUUUAACUCAUCGUCUCUGUCAGUCUCUUCGUGCGAAAACAGAUCUGCACGACACCGGGAGAAGAAGGUGGAGCGCGGAGGUGAUGGCGCCAGAGAAGAAGGUUGAGCGCGGAGGUGACGGCGCCGGAGAAGAAGGUAGAGCACGAAGGGAGUGAACCGGAAGCCAUGGUUUGGGUUCAGAUGGAUUUACUGGGAUUGAAUUCAAAGAGAGGGAGGCUACGGGAGAGAGACAGUGGAAUUAAUGAAAAAGAUGAGGGGUAUUGUUGUCCAAAAAAUUAUAAAUUUGUGUUCCACGGGAUGGAACAACCCGUUCCAGGGGGGUAUGUGGAACCAAAAUUUAACCCAUUUUCGUUCCGUGGGACAGGCGUUCCACACAAUUUAAGUGCACCAAACGUGGGAUGGAACGCGUCCGUCUCACUUUGUUCCGUCUCGUCCCACAUACCAAACACACCCUGACAGAUACUGGUACAUGUUCAUCUCAUAUAAUUGAGCAAAUUAAAUAAUUUCAGUGGGGAGACAACAAUCAUGACGGGCGAGCUAAAUCUCCAAAUCGCAUUGAAAUUCAUAUAACAAAAGAUAAAUCUUCAAUAAGGCAGCCUCACCACAUAAUUUGUAGAAAAGCUACUACAAACGAAGAGGAACUUCUGCAUUUGGAGUAAGAUAACGCUCUACUAAAGAUUUUAACCUCCAAUAAAUGAAGUGAACUAUACCGUAUUGUUCACAAUUAAAAAUCUUUGCUCCCUGAUAUGGGUACGUAUAUGUACUCAUAUAUGAAAUUAUUGGGGACUGAAAAUUAAAUACAAGGUCCUGCCAUAGACAGCCUUGUGAUAUUCAACCCAUGUCCAGCGGCCUAUCUGAAUUCAAGGGUGAAUGAAACUAGAGUGGGAGAGUAAUGGCUCUGUCUCCUAUGGCCAAAGUAUUAAACACAAUUCGGUACAUAACAGGCUGUGAUGAUUAAUUGUUGUUGAUCUAACCACAAGUCACUACUCAUUACUGUUGAAGAUAGAAACCAUAUCAGCAGAAGAUUGUCUGUUAGAAAUGCUGUUAGUAGCUGUUAGAGUUUGUAAGAGUUUGUUAAGUCAGUUAACUCCAGCUUAAGACACAAGAAAGCCCAUGAGAGCUAUAUAAAGUUGUAGUAGUAUCCAUGUAAUUCGUUCAGAAGUAAUGCACUCAAAUAGUAUCUCUCUCAUCAAUUCCUUUCUUUUCUGCUUUCUCAUUCAUUUAAUCUUUCUCUGAGUUCUUCAUGUUCAUCUGUUAACAAUUAUAAUACUAAUUACAUUUCACAUAACAACAUCUAUGGAGAGGUUAUGUUCUAAUUUAGGUAUUAAACCAAGGAAAAUGCUAAUCCGACUCGCCAGAUAACAGCAUGUCAAAGAAGAAUAAACCACUUGCAGAGACUAUCCAUUAUCGUGCAUGCCUUAGCUAAUUAAUUAUCAUAUCCUGAUGGUGGUUUGUUCCAUAAUUUUCAAAGAUUUGCUGGAUAAUCCAAUUCCAUUUAAUAUUAAAAUUGUCAUCCAAUACUUGUUUCUUUGUUUAGAUAAGACAAAUUAAAAUUGACGUGCACUACAUACGUUUGCAAUAAUUUAUAGAGUAAUAUGUUAUAGAGAUCAUAUUUUGUAGAUUACAUGAUGUGGUGGUUGAUAAUUAAAUUCCUUAUUUAAAUCACUAAGAAAGAAAUCCAACAAUCAAGUGGUUUAUAAAUGGACAAGGAUUGCCUGCCCUCACACUUCCGGUACCCUCCCUCCUAUUUUGUGUGGUCACGGUUAAGCCACUUCAACAUUUUAUAUUAUUUUUUUUAUAGAGAUAAUAAGACAAAAAUGAAUAGUAAUAUAAAAUGUUGACGUGGUUUAACUGUGACCACACAAACAGGAGGGCACGGAAGGACACCGGAAGUGGGAUGGCAGACAAUCCUUGUCCUUUAUAAAUAUGAUUUUAAAAGGUGGUCUCCGUAGCAUUUUCCUAAUGAAAACACAUGUGUGUUGUGGAUGUAAAUUUCUUCCUCCUUGCUCUUUGACAAAAUUGCACUUACAAAACAAAUAACACCUUAGGUCAAGGUCAGGAGCCUCACGCGCCCACGAUAAAUGUGGGGGGCUUUGACCGAAGAACCUCCGAUGCCAAAGUUAGAAUUUUGAGGGAAAAUUGUUUAGAGAAUUUAAUAAGAGAAUUAGAAUUUGGUUUUGGAGAGAAAGAGGAUGUUUAUAUAGGGGUUUGGCCGACUCCUUUGGAUAGAGAUGGACCGGCCACUUGGAUAGCUUUGUGGGUGAAGUUCAUGAUUUGUGGUUAAUUAGCAAAUUAAUUGGAUAAUAAAUCAAUUAAUUAGCUAAUUAAUAUAAUAAAAAAAGAAUGAUUUGACGGUUACCUUGUGGAGAAGAUUUGAUGAGGAUAGAUGAAAUAGAUUAUAAAUUUUGGGCACUUUUUGACUUAAUUGAGGAAUAAUUGCCCACUACUCAUGCGUAGAAAUCCUGAUGUGCUUUGAAGGUAAUUUUAUCUUUUUACCUAAAAAUUCAUGUGUCGCCUCUUGAUUAUUUUGACUCCACUUGUAUCACUUUCUUAGCUAACUCGGCUGCUUUACUUCCCAGAUUUUUCUGCUGCCUCUUACAAAAUCGCCAGACACUCGAAGCAUAGCGCAGAGUAGUCAAACUAUUUGCAGAUUCCUCAUAGCAAGUGGAAUGGAUAAAAUCCUUGACAUUAUCCAGAUUGGAACCAAAAGGAAGCUGCUAAUUACACGUUCUUGUCAACUUGUCCGCACCGCAAGCAAGAUCUUCAUCGUCGUCGUCAUCACCAACUCAUCUAUUAAUCUCUAGGAGGCAUAGUUUAUUUGUACAUCAAUGUAUAGGCUUUGCAUUUUAAGUGACUCAUAUCUACUUACUAAACUACACGUUAAAUUCUUUAUUGCACAUUCAACUAUUGAAAUCAGCAAUGCAUCACCAACAUUAAUAUAUUAUAAAAUUUUAACCACACAUAAAAUUGUUUGCAAGCCAUUCGCCACAAAGCCUAUUUGGUACAAUCUCAAUAUUAACAUGCUCUAAGAGAUUAAUAAUAUUAUUUUUAUGUAAGUAUUUGGAAGGGAAGUUUUCAUGCCUUCUUGUCUUUUGCUUGUAUGCCUAGGAAUUUGUCAGCGGUGAGGUUUCUUACUUCAUUCCUCUUCUUUAUUUGUUUGGAAAGGUAUUUUUCCUUAAGGGUAGUGUUACAUUAAGAGGUAUAGCCUGCUAACGUAUAUGGGUCUUAUCUCUAUUGAAGAUAUGAUAUAAAUAGAUGGUAAGAAUAAUAUUUUUUGUAUUCUUAAAUAUAUAUGAAAGAAGGAGACUGAAAUAGUAUAAAAAGUGGAUCCAUAUGGAACCUAUGAAUAUAUCCUUUAAAAAAAAAGAGUAAGCUAGUAGCUUUGCCACAGUAGCUCACCCUUUCAGAGAUAGGAAGACUCAAAGGCAUUUCAGCCUCUCCUUGCCACCAUUUGUGAUUCACUAGCGUAAAAAAUUGAACUGAAGACGUGCCUUGUGAAAAACGGACCUAAAAUUUUCCCAAUGACUAGGCCACCCCGUGGUGGUUCUAUAAAAUAUAUUCAUAUAAAAUUAUAAAUUGUAACAUACGUAGCACAAAUGAUUUUGAAUUAAUGCUACACUUAUCACUUAUUUGUACAUUAUUUGUAUCAUCUCUCUAAUAGAGGUAUGGCUCCUCAACGGAUGUGAGUUCUAUUUCUAUUAAGAGAAUUCUCUCACCCACCUAAUCUCUCUCUCAUUUCCUCUCCUCCUAUUUGAACGGUUACGAUUAAGUUACGUCAACAUUUUAUAUUGAUCUUUUUAUAAAGACAAAAGGAUAAAAAGCAAAAUAUGAGAGGAUGUGAGGAAAGAUAAGAGAAGUAAAAGGGAAGAGACUCCUACUCCAAUAAGAUUAGCAUUUUUGGGAAAAUUUUGAGACUCCAUCUUUGAAGAUAAUUUUUUUUUUAAUACAUAAAAAAGACUAUGAUUGCUAAUUUUUAAUUCAGUAAAAAUAUUUUGGAUGACUCGAGGUGAGAGUCCUCCAUUCCAUUGUCUGGUAGCCCAGACCCAUCUGAGGGCCAUUUAGAAUUUCCGAUCCAGGCUUGCAUCUAGAAAGUGGGUUUUGAAUUGUUGGCCUAUCUGACUCGAAAAAAAUUUGUUAGACCGGCUAGGCCUUAAAUUGUUGGGCCGGUCCAUUUUCUUGUAUAUCAGGAAUGUUUUUCUUUUUAGUACAUUGUAAUCAAGAAGUUGAUUUCAUGGUUUGUUAAAAGUUUUGACAAGUUUAUAAAUAAAAGUAUGUCUUGCAGAAAACACUUGUGAGUAUAAGGCCUCGUUUGGUACGCCGUAUAGAGCAUCGGCUAUGACUAAUAAGAUGGAGCAGGUGUUUGGUGUCUGUAUGUAUUAAAUAAUUAUCAGAUUAAAUAAUCUGGCCCUACCAAUUUUAAACAGCUCAUCCGCUUAGUUGUACUCUCCAAAACUACGAUAUUAUUUAGUCGGGUUGCUCAGUCCUCUCUCGCGAUCCGCUCUCUCUGUCCCUCAAUCCACCACACACACCACCAAAUCUCGACACCAUGUCCUUAGUGAACCACAAGGCAUCGCUAAAGACCAGCCGAUGCCUCGUCGACGAUCGUAUCACUGAUGAAGUGAUGCCCUGAUAAUAGAUCUGAAGAGGAUGGUGAAAGAGAUGAUGAGUAGACUCUUUGUCUCUACAUCGGCUUCAUUUCAUCCUCCAAAAAAAGGUUUUAUAAACUUACCUAUGUUUUUGCGUUUAGAGUUUUUUCGAUUUGGAAAUGUGAGUAAAAUUGUGAGAAAUUCCAAACCACAGUAUCACCAAUGUGACUGGCCAUAAAAAACAACAUAACUCUAUUUUUUAGUAUAUACCACAUAGUAUUAUAGUCUAAUAAUAUUUCUAUUUACUUGCAAGCGAGUUUGAGUCAUUUAAUCAGAGAAAAUAGAGUUAGAGAGGAAGAAAGAAAGAAUUGCACUGAUAUUUCCUUGAUUAAUUCAAUGGUUACAAUGGUAUGCUUACUAUAUAGAUGAGUGCUAGGCUAACCACCUUAACCGACUCACUUCCUUACCAACAAUCCUAACUAAUUAUUCUAACAAUCACAUUCCUAACUGCCUUAUAUACUCUAACAUCGCCCCGCAAGCUCAUGGUGGUUCAAGCAUGAGAUUGUUACAAUUGGAGAGUAUAGGAUCUGGUCACUGCUGCACGCAUACCCUGCAAAAAGAAACCUCCUAGCAUCUGGAGCUCGUAUGUUACCAUUAUACCGUGUAUACCAUAGUACCCAAAUCAGCGUAGACUCGGUGCCCCCACCCUUAUCAUAAAUUCGCAUAUGGUAGCCUAACUGAAUAUCAAAUAUACAUCCACCAUUGCAUAACUGAAGUACAUAAAAUCCCCGAAACUCAUGUACAACAAUUUGAGUAGGAACACCAAUUUUCGUCUUGUUGUCAGCAUCAAAAUGAUAUUUCUGCGAACAAAUGGUAUGUGAUCUGCUAAUGUGUGAACUUUCUGCACCAACAGAACUAGGUAGCUGCUCCUCGGUUGCAAAGGAUCUUAAAUGACUCAAACCUAACAGUGCAUAGUGACCUUGUUCUUUACCUUUGCCACCAGAUUUCUUCUUACCUUGGUUGCUGGACAAAUCAAAUGAUGAUACAGAAGGUUGUUCCUUGGUAUUAACCAUCUUCUCAUCUUCAACUGCUGUCUUUUCCUCCACAUACCUUGUUUGGGACAAACUGUGAUAGUUCAUUAAAUCCAACUGUUGUUCUUGUUCUUGGUCCAGUUCUUGUUCUUGUUCUUGGUCCAGUUCUUGUUCUUGUUCUUGUUCCUUGAAGCUUCUUUCUGAGAAGUUUCUGUAAUAAUUAGGUAACACAUGAUUGCCAAUAGAUGGACUCUGAGAAUCACUGUCACCAAAUGCAACCAUGCCUUGGGCUUGGAAAGCAGAUUGUGAAGAAGUUUUUACAUUUAGACCUUCUCUUGCAUCCGUCAGGAAAUUUGUUGCAUUGGAAUUUCCAAGUGGCGAUAACUUGUGAGCUGAUGGAGAAUUCAGUUCACCAUCCUUGUUAUGACCAUAAAUUGACUGAUGUCCUGCCAUAACAGUUAUCUGUUGUGCAUCUAGAUCCCUCCUACUUGGAUCAGCCUCUUCAUUCUUCGUACCUUGCACUUGGUGUAGCCGGGAGUGGUCAUGACGAAAUCCAUGUGAAUGUUUUAAAGCAUGGCCAAGAAAUCCAAGAUUUCGUGCAGAGGGAGCCAGGCCAUUGCUGUCACUAUGAUGUAUUCCACCAAGAUCCCCUGUCUGUGAAGCAUCAAACGUCAUCUAUUCCUCCUGCUUCUCUUGUGCAGAAAUGAAGGCAAAAUCUGGAUUCCAAUCAGCAGAACAAUCCACAAUGGUUUCCUCAGCAAGCAAUUGUACGCGAAAGUCCUUAAGUGAAAUGAUAUUCUCACGCCCUCUGAGUACACAUUUAAAUGUGUUGUAUUUUGGAGGGAGUCCAUUCAGCGCAAAGACCACAAAGUCUUCAUCAGGAAAUGUAACACCAAGAAUAAAAAGUCCAUCCAUUGCUUCUUUAAGCCGUCGAAGAUAUUGGGAAACAGAAUCGGAUCCUUUCUUCAUGUUGUACAUAUCAAUCUUUAACUUGAUGAUACUAGUUCUUGUGACUGGUAAGAAAAAUUCGUCUUGAAGACGAACCCACAUCUCUUGAGAACUCUUGCUACCAAUCACACAAGAAAGUGCAGAUGAAGAAAGGGUUGCAGUAAGUAACAACAUCAAAGCAUGAUCAUGCAUUUUCCACACUUUAAAUUCAUCUAAUUCUGGUCUGGCAGAUGAUUCAGAUGUGAUUACAGAAUGUGUAGAUGUUGCCGCAUCCUGAGGAGGACAAGGAUUCGAUCCAUCAAUGAAUCCCAUAAUGCCAUGACCUUGUAGCAUCAUCUUCAUCAGAAAAUGCCACUGCAAGUAGUUAGUCUCAUCUAAUUUUACACAAGUAGAGGAAGAAACGGACGGAAUCAACGAUACAAUUGGGGAGUGCAAAAGUUGCAAUUGUGUAGCGGUAACCAUAACUUUUGUUGUAGAAAUGAACAACCCAGAUAGAGAUUUAGAAGAGAAACCCCAAAUUUGUUGCUGACAAAUCAAACUGGUUGAUCAGUUUUCUUUGAGAACAAAGAGCAAACACCUUGUGUGCACAACUUUGUUGAAUGUAGAAUGCAGAAAUGGGCAAUCGGAGAUGCCCAGAAAAACAGAGAAGACAUACCCAAUAUUUUCUGGUCAAUAUCUUCUAGUGAUCGGAGAUUGAACGAUCUUUAACUGAGCAGUAGUCACCAUUGUUGAUGUUGUAUAGAAUUCUUUCAUUGAGACAAUCUAUCGAACAAUUGGUAUGCAGAAACGAAGAACAAUUUCUUGAAGAUUCAUGGAGAUCGGAAGAAGCCAAUUGUUUUGUUUAUCACACAACAGAUUGCAAACUAGAGGGUAAAGAAGAGAAAGAAAUGCUUUGAUUGAGGUGCGGAAGCGCCAGGUCUAUUCGAGGCAAUGAUACCAUGUUAAGCAAUAUGCAGAAGGAGAAACAGAGAGAUCACAGAGGAAAAAGAAGAAGGAAUCAAAGAGAAUUUAGAGAGGAAGAAAGAAAGAAUUGCACUGAUAUUUCCUUGAUUAAUUCAAUGGUUACAAUGGUAUGCUUACUAUAUAGAUGAGUGCUAGGCUAACCACCUUAACCGACUCACUUCCUUACCAACAAUCCUAACUAAUUAUUCUAACAAUCACAUUCCAAACUGCCUUAUAUACUCUAACAUUUUUUAGUAUAUACCACAUAGUAUUAUAGUCUAAUAAUAUUUCUAUUUACUUGCAAGCGAGUUUGAUAUCAAUUUAUUCCUCUAUUUUUUAAUGUAAAUAUUGUAUCAAAAACUCUACUUUUUAAUAUAUUUUGCACACCAAACCUAGGGGUGGCUAGGGUGUGCUCCAGCCCAUCCCAACCUACAAAAUGUCCUACCUUUAACCUACUCUUAAACUACCAUCCUCCCACUUAAAUGGCUCAUCCCUACCCCAGAUUUUGGGCUGAAUCCGCGCCUCACUAUAUCAAACAAUUGAAAGAAAAGAAAAAGAGGUUGAUCAACUAUAUAAUUUUUUCAUUUUAGCAUUUAUGAUUGAGGCUGAUGGGUACAUAAAAAGGCCACAAAUUUUGCAGAAGAUAAAAUAAUCACAUGAAAUAAAGGUCAUACACCAAUGAGUAAAUGUUCGAUGAGGUAGCCCUAGCCCACGCACAUCUUAUAUAUAUAAACACACAAACAUGAUUUGAUACGAACGAAACAGUCGUCAUAUCAAAUGUUUUUAUUAAUCACACACACAUGCAGAUAGAUCGUGAUUGCAGCACACAGAUUAAUCACAGAUCAUAUAAUUAAGCCUUAAGCCUUCUGUGUUUAUUUUGCAUCGGUGCUUGUAAGGUGAGCAUCAAUAUCUUUGGAGACCUCAACUGCAAACUGGAGCAAUGUAUGUGGAUCUUCAAUGUCGUCAUGGUGCUUCUCAUACUCCAUAGUCCAGUGCACGUUGCAUCCCUCGCCUUUCGGAGUUGCGUGGAUGGUGAUCUUGAAGCUCUUGUAAUGCUCCAUAAGAUCUCCUUCAAUCACUUUGAAAGUGAUCAGAUUAUUUUCAGCGUCUAUGGCUUCAAUCAACUCCUUAGCAACUUUGGCUUUUCCAUCUGCAUGCAUGAAAAUCUCACGUAAUCAAUAUAAUAUCACAAGUUUGAGCUUAGUUAAGUUUGCUAGAACAGUGUAUUUCUCCCACUGCACUUAAGUUCAAAACCCCUCUCCAUAAUUUAGAUAAAUUUAGUAUAAAAUGUUGUUUGUAUAUUUUAGGAAUACAGUCGAUAUUA
rnacentral:lncRNA from 1 species